rnacentral:misc_RNA from 1 species
CCGGGUAUUCAUGCGGCUCCGGGAGGGGGUGCAUCCCCCUCCCGGCAGCCCAUUGCCUUCACCCUUUGUAAACCUGUCCACCGUUGUUGGCGCAUGGGUGCGAGGGGCUCUCCCCGUUUUCGCGGGGGGCCCCAGGUGCCCGCCAGCCACGCAACCUCCAAAACUCUGCUUCAAACCUUGCGGUCUGAGCGAAUAUUUCGAAUAGCGAAA